AUUGAACGCUGGCGGCAGGCCUAACACAUGCAAGUCGAGCGGAUGGGCGGACGGGUGAGUAAUGCCAAGGAAUCUGCCUGGGAGUGGGGGAAAAGGUUCGGAAAAGGGCGCUAAGGCUGAAUACUAUCAGAAGAGCCUAGGGCGGAUUAGCUUUUGGGUGGGGUAAGGGCCUACACAGGCGACGAUCCGUAACUGGUCUGAGAGGAUGAUCAGUCACACUGGAACUGAGACACGGUCCAGACUCCUACGGGAGGCAGCAGUGGGGAAUAUUGGACAAUGGGCGAAAGCCUGAUGCAGCCAUGCCGCGUGUGUGAAGAAGGUCUUCGGAUUGUAAAGCACUUUAAGUUGGGAGGCGUUACCAACAGAAUAAGCACCGGCUAACGUCGUGCCAGCAGACGCGGUAAUUC
rnacentral:rRNA from 1 species